rnacentral:lncRNA from 1 species
GAUAUCAAAGUCAUGCUGCAUAAAUAAUAUACAAUAUAUAAAAUUUAAAAAUAAAAAUUAAGUAAUUAGCAAAUUAAAUUUAAAAUAAAUGGAAGGAUCUGUAUUUAAAAAAUACAACAUAAUUGAUAUUUAGUUAUCUGUAAAUGGUUGAGGAGGAUCUACUUCUAUAGCUUCGUAACUUUCUACCAGUCGAACAUCACCAAGGG